UACGUAGGGGGCAAGCGUUGUCCGGAUUUACUGGGCGUAAAGCGCACGUAGGCGGCUUUGUAAGUUAGAGGUGAAAGCCCGGGGCUCAACUCCGGAAUUGCCUUUAAGACUGAAUCGCUAGAAUUGUGGAGAGGUAAGUGGAAUUCCGAGUGUAGAGGUGAAAUUCGUAGAUAUUCGGAAGAACACCAGUGGCGAAGGCGACUUACUGGACACAUAUUGACGCUGAGGUGCGAAAGCGUGGGGAGCAAACAGG
rnacentral:rRNA from 1 species